UGCACUGCCUUGCUGGGAGGUGGGAAGAUGUUUGCAGCUCCAGGGUCACCCAGGGAGGGUUUGGGGCUGGCGGGGCUGAGAGCUGCGGCGCUUCUGCAGGCGCACAACUUCUCACCUGCCAAACCCAUGCUCUGGCAAUGAAAUCAAUAAUGAACUGUGUUUGCCCACCUGGUCUCACAGGAGAAACAUAGCAUUAAGUCUCAGGGAGGCUUUGGCCCGGGUUCAGCAAGGCACUUAAACACAUGCCCAGCUUCAGGGUGGGACUGGUCUUCCCCGGCCUCCCUCCAAAAUAGAUGGGGGUCGUUCAAGCAGACGCAGCAAAAGUGCUUGCCCGUGCUGUGCCAAGGCUUUAAAUCAUGAGAUAAUCUCACCAGGCACAUUUGUUAAGUUAUGCUCGGCUGUUUUCCUGCGUGCUUUUUAUUUUUUUUUUUUUUUUUGCUGAUGACAAGAAUAGCACAUAACGAAGGCGAGAAGGUGCAGCCAGCUCCCAGAAAGAUACGGGGAGUUAUUUUCCUCUCUGUACCCGGCGUGGUCAGGUUUGGAUAAAUCCUGUGGGCUGAGCCUCACCUGUUCGGCCUGCACAGACUCAGGAUGUGCACGGACCUCGGCUGCUGCGCGAGGGUGGAGGCUACAGGGGUGCUGGGGCAGAAGUGCUGGGAGGAGGGUUCAUUGGACACCACACGGAGGGGCAGCCUGGCUGGGAAAGGAAAAGGAGUCCCAUGAUGUGGACAGGUCUGGGGACAGAGGGUUGGUUGGGCGAGUUGGGUGGCUCCAAGGACCAGGGUUCAGGAGAAGGAAAAGCCAAAAGCAACUAAAGCCCAGAAGGGAUUUGGGGCUUUGAGCAACCUGUUCUAGUGGGAGGUGUCCCUGCCCAUGGCAGGAGGGUUGGAAUCAGAUGACCUUUAAGGUCUCUUCCAACCCAAACCAUUUUAUGGUUCUAUGAUUUUUCUUCCUCUGAGCUUUUUCUAGAGUGUGCUAUAGGGUGUGCACCCUGUUCUCUGCACCCUGAAGGCAAGAGGGGGCUACAGAAAGCCAGAGGAGGACCGAAAGCUGCGAUGUGAACUACUGCUGUUUAUUUGGUGAUGUCCCUCUCCUGCUCGCGUCCCCGUCGCCUGUGCCUGUGCCAGCCUGGGUUUGCUGUGAGCCCUGGCUCCCCUGACAGGUUUGAGGUCACCUACAGGUUGCAUCUGGCUCUGGAUACAUGGCGAGAGGGUCUCAGGGAUGCUCUGGGAUAUCUUUUCUGAACACAACAUAGAUAAUCAAGCUCAACACUUGAGCGUGAAACUUGGGUGAGGACGAGGGGAUGUGGAGAGAAUUCCAGGGACAGGAUGUGUUUCUCAAACUGAGUCUGUGGGAGCUUCUCACUCAAAUGUGAGCCACAUAAAAAUGUAUCUGUGACCCCUGGCUUGCAGAGCCCAGGGUGAUGUGGCUGUUUUCCUUCCCUUUCCUCCUCAGGGCAGGGACCAUACCUGCUGCCAUAGAAGCCAUGGCUGCUUUCCAGCAAGGGAGAGGUGGGGAAUGGUUGAGAGCUUUCAUGAAAUGUCUUGCGGAGACUUGAGCAGCUAAAAUUCAAAUGCAGAAAGAGGAGCUCACCCUUCUUUUUUCGUGAGCAUUUCUGAGGGGCAGUAAGAGCCCAAACACAAAGCGAAACCCUCAGCAACAGCUGAGCAAAAUCCUGGUAGGGUCUGAACCACUCGAGCAGGGAGAAAGCCCUUCUUUAAGUCAUCGACUGUCUUUUUAGAGGAUGUUCUUCUAAGGGUUUGGCUGAGCCCGCAGUUGGAGAAGAGAUGUUCUCCUUGGCCAGCAGAGUGCCAAGUGCCCGGACCAUAUCCCCUCCUGCAAGGACUGUGGAGCAUGGUGCAGGUGGUGCAGGGGCUUUGCGCCCUCUGGAAAAAGUUACUGGGAAAGCCCAGCAGAGGUCUUACCGGUCUCUUGUUUCUCUGAACUGGGGGAGAGAAAGGGGGCAGGAAAGAGAGUCGCACCAAAGUCUGUGAAGGCAGCAGAAAACUUUGGUUGCCUCAUAGGUGAUUUUUAUGUGUUGGUACAAAUAGACGAGCCCAGCAUGCCAUGUGAACUUUUUAUUAUUUAUUAAUACAAUGGCUUUUAAAGUGUGUGUCAGCAAGUGGGAAUGGACUUGAGAGACAGAAGAAAUACUUCUUCAGGCCUUUUUCUUCUUUGAAAGCAAUGAAAUGUAUCUUUUGACCUGCAGAGUUACUCUGUCAUAUUUAACUUAUUUUUGUGUUACUGGGUUUCUCUUACUUGUGUGUACCUGUGUGCAACAGAAAUAAACUUUAAACAAUGGGAUUUCAUCUAAUGCACCUACAUGGAAAUGGCAUCGCUUCAGACAGACGAGCAAUGUCAACUUGAUAUCGAAUACAAAGAAGUGUGAGCUCUCAAAGAAAGAAAGGGUGUAGGGCAAUCUAAAGAAAAUCCUGCUACUGGGCAUCCCUUUGGUGGACAGACAUUGGAAAAAUGCAGCAUCCCCCUCAGAACAGCCCAGCUGUGGCCCAGUCUGGAGCAACUGGGCUGCCACCACAGGAGGUGAUGUCUGAACAGCUAACCUUGAAAUAUGCUGGUUUACCAGCACCAUGAAUAGAAAUCUUUGAAGUUGUGAAAAUGUGAAAACUGCAGUUGGUUAACAGAAUUUAUAUUGGGUGAAAUACCAGCGGGAUAUAAAGAAGAGCAUGCUGGCUCAGCUCUUGUUUUCUGAAGACAGCUUGGCUGCAGAGGGCCCCAGCUGUAGCCCCAGCAAGUGAUGCAUAAGUAGGGUGCAUUGGCAUUGAGAUGUUGGGGAUCCUUCCAGAGGCAAAGGCUGGCGAUUAACAUGGGAUCCCCCAUAAAACAGGCUGAAACCCACAGCCAGGGCAGCCCUACCGAACGGGCUUUCCUUGCCGUUGGGCUCUUGAGAAGCAGGGUGAGGGCUCGCCACUGAAAACACUCUAAAAUGGCAGAAACUGUUGGUAGCACGGGUAACCGCAGAGGCAC